AGGGUGUAAACGCUGCAGACUUGGUGUUGGAAGCCCUUUGGGGGCAUUCAGUGCCGGAGAGAAGUUGUUAAGUCUGCUACUUGGGGAGUACGUCCGCAAGGAUGAAUCUUAAAGGAAUUGGCGGGGGAGCACCGCAACGGGAGGAGCGUGCGGUUUAAUUGGAUUCAACACCGUAAAACUCACCAGGGAAGACUGUUACAUGAAGGCCGAGAUGAAGACUCUGCUAGAUUUUCAGAGAGGUGGUGCAUGGCGUAGACGUCU
rnacentral:rRNA from 1 species